rnacentral:rRNA from 1 species
CAGCAGCCACGGUAAUACGAAGGGGGCUAGCGUUGUUCGGAAUAACUGGGCGUAAAGGGCGCGUAGGCGGAUCUUUAAGUCAGGGGUGAAAUCCCAAGGCUCAACCUUGGAACUGCCUUUGAUACUGGAGAUCUUGAGUCCGGGAGAGGUGAGUGGAACUGCGAGUGUAGAGGUGAAAUUCGUAGAUAUUCGCAAGAACACCAGUGGCGAAGGCGGCUCACUGGCCCGGUACUGACGCUGAGGCGCGAAAGCGUGGGGAGCAAACAGGAUUAGAUACCCGCGUAGUCCCUGUCUCUUAUAC